rnacentral:rRNA from 1 species
CCUACGGGUGGCAGCAGUCGAGAAUCAUUCACAAUGGGGGAAACCCUGAUGGUGCGACGCCGCGUGGGGGAAUGAAGGUCUUCGGAUUGUAAACCCCUGUCAUGUGGGAGCAAAUUAAAAAGAUAGUACCACAAGAGGAAGAGACGGCUAACUCUGUGCCAGCAGCCGCGGUAAUACAGAGGUCUCAAGCGUUGUUCGGAAUCACUGGGCGGAAAGCGUGCGUAGGCUGUUUCGUAAGUCGUGUGUGAAAGGCGCGGGCUCAACCCGCGGACGGAACAUGAUACUGCGAGACUAGAGUAAUGGAGGGGGAACCGGAAUUCUCGGUGGAGCAGUGAAAUGCGUAGAUAUCGAGAGGAACACUCGUGGCGAAGGCGGGUUCCUGGACAUUAACUGACGCUGAGGCACGAAGGCCAGGGGAGCGAAAGGGAUUAGAUACUCUUGUAGUC